UACGUAGGGGGCAAGCGUUGUCCGGAUUUAUUGGGCGUAAAGAGCGUGUAGGCGGCCUGAAAGGUCAGCUGUGAAACUCGAGGCUCAACCUCGAGACGUCGGUUGAAACCAUCUGGCUAGAGUCCGGAAGAGGAGUGUGGAAUUCCCGGUGUAGCGGUGAAAUGCGCAGAUAUCGGGAAGAACACCCGUGGCGAAGGCGGCACUCUGGGACGGUACUGACGCUGAGACGCGAAAGCGUGGGGAGCGAACAGG
rnacentral:rRNA from 1 species